UAAUACGGAGGGUGCAAACGUUGUUCGGAAUUAUUGGGCGUAAAGAGCAUGUAGGCGGUCUGUCAAGUCUGAUGUGAAAGCCCGGGGCUCAACCCCGGAAGUGCAUUGGAAACUGGCAGACUUGAGUACGGGAGAGGAAAGUGGAAUUUCGAGUGUAGGGGUGAAAUCCGUAGAUAUUCGAAGGAACACCAGUGGCGAAGGCGGCUUUCUGGACCGAUACUGACGCUGAGAUGCGAAAGCGUGGGGAGCAAACAGGAUUAGAUACCCUGGUAGUCCACGCCGUAAACGAUGGGUACUAGGUGUGGGAGGUAUCGACCCCUUCCGUGCCGCAGCUAACGCAUUAAGUGCACCGCCUGGGGAGUACGGUCGCAAGACUA
rnacentral:rRNA from 1 species